rnacentral:lncRNA from 10 species
GAAGAGUUGCUGUUUGAAAAAGAAUGUGAGGAAAGCUUGAAUGAGUUAGAUGAGAAUUGAAGUGGUAAGACUGUGGCCAUCAGAUAUGAGGAGGAAGAGCAUUUCUAAGGGCAGAACAGAGCAAGUACAAAGACCCAGAGAUGAGGUUGUGCUUAAUGUGUUUGGGAAAUUGCAAGGAAGCUAGUAACGGGGCCAUAGCAGGCAUAAAAGCAACAAUUUAUCAAACUGCCUGAGGGAAUGAUGUAAAAAAUGCUCAUCAAGAAUAUCCAUCUGGACAGGACAAAAAAUGACGCUGAGAGGACUUUGGAGAGUUUCUACCCAGUUUUCCUAAAUUCCAGGAAGUUUUCUUAGUAGAAAUGAUGAUGACUGAAAGCUACUUCAUUUCUGGGAUACUUGAGACUUCUGGUCUGCAUAUGUGACUGUAGGAAGAAAUAAAUAAUUUAUGUUUUGGAAAAACCCUAAUUACCUAAAGAUGACUCUCAUGGAGUAAAAGGGAAAUGGGCAUUUGUCUUGUUUUCCCAAACUCUUUCAGUACUCAGUGAAUAAAAAUUAAGGUAACAACAUGAAUUCAGAAGGGCUUCUUAUUUGAGCUCUCUUACCUGUGCAGACUUAUAUUAUUGUGUGUGUGACAGGCAUUUUCCUUAUUUUAUUUUAUACAAUGUGUGUGAAUAAAUUUUUAUACAACUUCUUUUAUUAAAGGCAGAGAAUGCUUCAGCUUACCUUUGUAUUAUCUACAUUUUGGAAACAGAAUGAAUAUUCAAAUGUUGAAUUAGCUCGAAUAAAUGAAUAGUUC